GGACCGCACAAGCAGUGGAGCAUGUGGUUUAAUUCGACGCAACGCGAAGAACCUUACCAGGGCUUGACAUAUUGAUUACUACCUUCUAAGAGAUUAGAAGAGACUAUAAAUACAGGUGGUGCAUGGUUGUCGUCAGCUCGUGUCGUGAGAUGUUGGGUUAAGUCCCGCAACGAGCGCAACCCCUUUCCUUAGUUGCCAUCAUUCAGUUGGGAACUCUAAGGAUACUGCCGAUGUAAGUCGGAGGAAGGUGGGGAUGACGUCAAAUCAUCAUGCCCUUUAUGUCCUGGGCGACACACGUGCUACAAUGGCCGGUACAAAGAGACGCGAAUCCGCGAGGAGGAGCAAAUCCCAUAAAGCCGGUCUCAGUUCGGAUAAGAGUCUGCAACUCGACUCUUUGAAGCUGGAAUUGCUAGUAAUCGCGAAUCAGCCAUGUCGCGGUGAAUACGUUCCCGGGUCUUGUACACACCGCCCGUCAAACCAUGAGAGCUGGUAAUACUCGAAGUCGUUAUCCUAACCGCAAGGAGGGAGACGCCUAAGGUAGGACUGGUGAUUGGGGUU
rnacentral:rRNA from 1 species